rnacentral:lncRNA from 1 species
CACUCAUUUAAAGAGUAUAAUUCAAUGGUUUUUAGUAUAUUCACAGAAUUACACAUUUUGUUUUGUUUUCAUAAAUCAUAUUCUGAGGGCUUGUUACAUUUCUACUAUAUUUGGUGUUCCUGGUCUAGUCCUAGAAAAAUGCUGUUUAUCCAGCACUGACCUGCUCCAAACUUCAACAUGCCCAAAAUAGAUGGUUCCUCAGGAUGUGAACUGUGACCAUUUGAACAGGGCACUGCUCCGAGUGUUAUUUUCAAGUCCCUGUUACAGAGAUCAUGUCAGAAGACUAAGGCACCACCAGCAGCACCGGACUGGGUAAGCAAAGCUUCCCCUUGGCAGCCAGCUCCAUGGAGGAGACAGAGAGAAGGUUCUAGAAUCAUCCUUAGAAAGACAUGGGAGGGCAGGGGCAAGAACGGCAGCCUCUCCCUAGCUCACAUCUCACCAGGGUUGGCUAAGCAGUCCUCCCCUUGCCCCACGAGUGGCAGGACAGCUCCCAACACUUCUCUAGGCUUAAAGUACAUGUGGAAGGGCGAGCCUCCCAGGAUUCUCAAACAGAAGCAGCCUGCCAGGCUGAGCCAUCCAGAAGACCCCCUCCCUCUUCCCUGAGCUCUGUUUCUUCCAUGAGGUUGAAGAAAAAUGCCGUCGUGGUCCCCUGCCUGCUUACUCAGCGUGUCAAGCAGGAGUUCUCAGCUCCAGUGUGCCAUGGAGGGCCUUGGGAAGAGGUCACAUACCAUUCCCAUCCCCAGGUGAGAAUCACAUAAAAACCAAGGUCCAAGGUCCAAGGUCCAGGCCACACCGCAUGCCCACCAAGGGUGGAGAGGCCUGGAAGCUCCUCUGACCCUCAGGGACUCCACCAUCUUCCAGGGCCCAGCAGUGACUGCAAUCAUGGCUCCUCUCUAGCCUGAAAGAGUGCUGUCCCUGGAAAGGGCUGGCAGCUCUCUGGCCUGCUAUUUCCAGUCCCCCCGCCCCCCCCCCUCCCCCACACACACACACCCUCGGCUGCAGGUCUCUGAGGCCCCUGGAGCUUGGCAGCUUCACACUUCAGCCCAUGAACUUUCUUCCAGGUCAGGCUAGACUCCAGGCCAGGUUCCUCCACUGCCCUUGUGUUGACUACAGGAGAAACUUGAGCCAACACCUGACCUUGGGCUAGCUCCCUCCUCACAUCUGCUUUGGAGAUUCCAGUCUCCUCCUGCCCAGGCCUGUCUCUUAGCAGGGCCAGCAGGAUGGGCUGGGGAAUUCCUGCACCCCAACAGCUGCGUCCCCAGCUCAGUACCUGGACAACAUGAAUCCACCCCCAUCGUCAAUAAGCGUCUUUCAGAGCUGCCAGCUCCCUCUGGGGAAAGCCCUUUCCACUCGUUCUUUGAGGCCCAAAGCUGAUUCUGGUCUAAUUAUAACUGUAUUCCCAGCAGGUGUGACACAAAGCAGGUGCAUAAUAAAGAUUCCUGGAUGGAUGACUCAAUUUCUGACU